ensembl:lncRNA
GUCAGGAUUAUUGACCUGUCCAUACCAGACUCCAAAUCUCCACAUGUCCAUGAAGAAGGCACGAUUUAAGACUUGUAUAUAGAUUACGCAUCCUCUUGGAAGGCAUUCACGUGCCCAGCCAAUGCUGGCAUAAUCGCUCACAGCUUUCCUCAUGUUUUGAAGCCACUGGAAUGCUUUGCUUUGCUUUUUACCCCUUCUAAAGCUACACACCAACAUCAGGAUGCUCAAAGGUCUGUCUAAUAAUGUCUGGCAUGCUGACUUGAUACAGCUUGGCUGAUGUGCAGUUUUGUAUACGUUCCAGACGCUAGAUCGCAUGGACUCAGAAGCUUCCCAGAUGUGCUGGCUCACAGAGCUGUGGAGCCACAGCUGUGCAAGAGAACUGAGUUCACACCGAUGAUUUGGGUGGGUCUGACAUUGAGCACCCAAGGUGUGAUGGAUAGUCUCACCAGAACAUUCUCAUAGUCAAAGCUGCAAUGGAGAAUUUAUUGUACAUCUCUGAAGAGCGAAUACAUUCAGUGAAACUUGCCUCAGUUUUCCUCAGAGACUCAUUAAAGCCAAUUCUCAAAUUGAUGUAUUUUAUUAUGUAACUACUGCAUAUUACACAAUUUUGUAAUCGAAUAGGGACUUUUACUUUUUAACAUCUGUAAGUUAAAAUAUAAAGUUUAAAAUACAUUGUUCACUACGGAUUAUGUAAGGGAUAAUCAAUGGUUUGCCGUGCAUUAAAAGGAUUUUAAACGCAUGACGUGGAGGCAAAAAUGCGAAGCAAUAUAUAUAUAUAUAUAUAUAUAUAUAUAUAUAUAUAUAUAUAUAUAUAUAUUAAAUAUAAAUAUAAUAUUAUACUUAUAGUUCUGUAAUAAUAAUUAUAGCAUACACACAUAAACACACGCACACACACACACACACACACACACACACACACACACACACACACACACACACACAUUUCUACAUAUGUGUUUUUAAAGCCAAAAUGUUUUUGUUUUGGGGAAUACAUCCUUUGCCUUUAAAACAAGAAUGAUGAAGUUGUAAUUUACAGAGGCUGU